CCCACCACUCCUGCAGCCCACCCCACAACCACCUUCGCUAUCUGCAAGGCUGACUUCCAAACUCUGCCUUUCAUAUUAGAAAUGAUUAAUCCCCAUUCUCGCCCAGAACAAAAGGACCUACAGCUGGCCUUGCGCUCAGCGAGGAACACCAAGAAAAAAGCCUGAAGAAAUGAAGCUAUUGCAGCCCCCUCUCCGCCAGACUGUGGGUUUGUCUGUGUGCUCGUAUCUGUCUGUCCCCUCCAUAACAGCACCCAACUGCGUUGGCCGACUUCAACCACACUGGAUGGAAAGCAGAGGCCAAAAAGCCUUUUCUUGGGAUCCCUCUGAGAGCAAGACUUGCUAGCCAGUCAAGCAAAGAGGCAGACCCAUAAAUAAUCACACUGAGGCCAGACAAAUUCAACUUGGAAACAAAGUCUGCAUUUUUAAUGGCACGUCUGUUAAAGGAGAAAAGCUUCCAUCAUAUUUUCUGUGUCUUCUUAGGCACACAAGUCAGUUAGCCUCAAGACACAAAUCCAGAGGAAAUCUGGCUCCUUUCGAUCCAGAACUACCUGUUUCAUAGGUUUUAAAAUUCACAGUGGGCUGUAAGAUCAUCUAUUCUGAGCUCCAUAUAAUAUGGACCAUAAAAUUGCAUACUCCAAUAAGGAACCCAAUAACUUGUGCUUGGCUGAAACCUCAGUUCCAGCAGGCAUCUGCUCACAAUUUGAAAAUAUCUGAAGAGGAAGAAUCUACUACUUUCAUUGGACAGCUGCUUGUGCAAGCUAGGAAUUAACUCAGACAGCCCAACUGGAUCAAAAAUAGCCCAGGCUCAAAUAACACAGAGGUUUCAAGAUCCCAAGAUGUCCUGAGAAGAUGCUCAGCUGCUGAGACGUUCCAAACAUUUGCAUUCCAAUGCAAGUUUGUCUGAUGGAGCAAGGAGAAGCAAUGCUCCAUCCCACCUCCUGCACUUCUGUGCCCUGGCCACUAAUCCCAAGGGUUUCUGUAGCAUCCCGUGGUGAGUUUUAGGGUCUGGCUUUGGGACAGUCUGCAUACAGGACUUGGCACCGCUCUCUCCUUCAGCAUUCAUCCCAGUUUGCAGCAUCUGUAAGCAAGAAGAGUCCUUAUUUUGUUCCCAAAGCCCACUCUUCCCUGCCCUGGGGGUUGCAUGGACACACACAAGGACUUCAUAGGAUCACAGAAUGGCUUGGAUUGGAACGGACCCCAAAGAUCAUCUAGUUCCAACCCCCUGCCAUUGACAGGGAUGACAACCAUUAAGUCAAUCACUAGGUCAGGCUGCCCAGGGCCCCAUCCCACCUGGCCUUGAACACCUACAGGGAUGGGGCACCCACAGCUUCUCUGGACUUCAGAGGGAUAAGGCAACACCAGCAUUGCAAGGCCUCUGGGGUCUGCAGUGGGACUGCAAACAGGUUUUGGUGAGGAGAAGCCUUUCCAGGACACCAGUUGUGCUUCCUGGCGUCUGCAGUGAAAACAGCCAAGACAAAAGAAGUGCUGAUAUUAUUAGAAUGAAUGAAAAUGCUGAUAAAAUGCUUCAGAGCAAAUAAAAAAGAAGGCUUUCUGAGCAAGAGCCCAGCCUUGGAAGGAACAGCCUGAUCACUA
rnacentral:lncRNA from 1 species